rnacentral:snoRNA from 10 species
GAUUAAUGAUGAUACAGGACCUUGUCUGAAUAUACUGAUUUCAAAAUUUGAGCUUAAAAUAAUAUUCUGAAAUC